rnacentral:rRNA from 1 species
UCUGUCCUACGGGGCGCAGCAGUGAGGAAUAUUGGUCAAUGGCCGAGAGGCUGAACCAGCCAAGUCGCGUGAGGGAUGACUGCCCUAUGGGUUGUAAACUUCUUUUAUAAAGGAAUAAAACGAGGCACGUGUGCCUUUUUGCAUGUACUUUAUGAAUAAGGAUCGGCUAACUCCGUGCCAGCAGCCGCGGUAAUACGGAGGAUCCGAGCGUUAUCCGGAUUUAUUGGGUUUAAAGGGAGCGUAGAUGGGUUGUUAAGUCAGUUGUGAAAGUUUGCGGCUCAACCGAAAAAUUGAAAUUGAUACUG